UGACAGUCUGCCAAAGGACCUAACAUGAGUCACAUCAAUUUGCCAUAAAACAUUAGGAGUUAGGCCUCUGGGAUUAACAUCAGGUUCCUGAUUUGGAAGUAUGAAGACCUGACACUGAGGGCAGCUGUGAACAAUAAACUUAGCCUGUUUCCAGAGUGCAAGAUCAAGGCACCAGCAGAUUCGGAGUUUGAUGAGAGACUACUUCCUGGUUCAUAGAUGGUGCCUUCUCACUGUGUCCUCACAUGGCGGAAGGGGCAAACAAGAUUUCUGAAGUCUCUUCAAGAACAGUAAUUCCAUUCAUGAGAGCUCUGCCCACAUGACCUAGUCACCUCCCAAAGGCCCUAUCUCCCAGUAGGGAGUUAGGAUUUCAGUGUACAUAUAUUGGGUGAACAAAAUCAUUCAGAUCAUAUACUAUUUUCAUUUAUAUCCAUUUGAUACCCACUUCACUGAUUUCAGUCUUUUUAAAGUUAUUGAGAAUUGUUCUGUGGCCUAUGAUAUGUUUCAUCCUCAUGAAUGUUCUAAGUGAACACUAAAGAAGACAUAUAAAGCAUGAACAACUAUAUGAAAAGAUGUUCAUCAUUAUUAAUUAUAAAGGAAAUGCAAAUCAGAACUACAAUAAGAUAACACUUCACAUCUCAAGCUAUUAUUAAAAAAUCAAAAGAUAGCAGGUGUUGGUGAGAAUGCAGAGAAAUUGAAACCCUUGUUCCCCAUUGGUGGGAAUGCAAAUUGAUGCAAACUUUCUGGAAAACAGUAUGCAUGUUGCUUUAAAAAUAAAAAAUAAAACUAUCAUAUAAUCGAGGAAUAUUACUUCUGGAUGUAUAUCGAAGAGAAUUAAGAUCAGAAAUUUGAAGCAAUAUCUGCACUCUCAUGUUCAUUGCAGCAUUAUUCCCAAUAGCCAAAAUUGGAAACAGCCCAGUGUCCAUUGGCAAAUAAAUAGAUAAAUAAAAUAUGGUAUAUAUAUACAUAUAUGUAAUGCAAUAUUACUUGGCCUUGAAAGAGUAAGAAAUUCUGCCAAUUGCUACAGCAUGGUUGAAACUGGAGGACAUUAUGCUAAGUGAAAUAAGCCAGUCACAGAAAGAAAAAUAUUGUGUGAUUCUACUUACAUAUUUGUAAUGCUCAGACUAACAGAAACAGAAUAAAAUGGUGAUUGCCGGGGCUAGGUAUUAAAGAAACAGGGAGUUGUUCAAUGUGUAUGCUUCAGUUAUAGUAGAUGAUUGAGUUCUAGAGGUAUGCUGUACAAUAUGGUACAUAUAGUUAAUAAUAUUGUAUACUUCAAAGUUAAAGAGUAGAUUUCAUAUUAACAUUUUAAACCUACACAUAUCUAAACACAAACACACAAAAUACAAAUGAAUCAAACAUUUAUUGUCUUGAUUGUGGUGAUGAUAUCACAGGUGUUUGUACAUGUUGAAACUCACCAAAUGUGCACAGUAAAUAUGUACAGCUCUUUGUAUAUCAAUUAUGCCUCAAUAAAGCUGUGCAGAAAAGAGCAUACAUUAUUCUCUUGAUAGAUGGAAUGUUUUAUAAAUAUCAGUUUUUAAGUUGUUUCGUGGUGCUGUUGAAGUGUUUUUAUACAUGUUAAAAUGAAAACCUAUACAACAUAUGAAUAUACACGUUCCAAAAAAUUUGUACAAGAAAUAUCAUAGUAAUUUUAUUUAUAUGCCAAAACCUGAAAAAAACACAAAUGUCUAUCACCAGAAAGGUGUACAAUAAGUUUUGAUAUAUUCAUACAAUGAAAUAUGGCUCAGCUAUAAAAAUUAAAAACUAUAUCUGAUACAUUUAACUGUAUAAAUUAGCUUCAAAAACAUUGUGUUGAACAAGGAAAGCCAUAUGCAAGAGUGCACGCAAUAUUAUAACAUUUACAUGAAAAUUCUGGAACAGAUACCCCUAAUAUAUUGUGAUAGAAAUUAUAGAUGAUUGCCUGCUUGGGGGGGAAUGACUGAAAUGGGACACAGGGAUUUUUUCAUUGGUGAUGGAAAAGUAGUACAUAAUACUACUGGUAUUAGUUUAUGAGAAGUACAGAAGUACAUAUUUAUCAAACUUCAUCAAAAUGUACAAUUAAGAUCUGUGUAUAUCACUAUAUAUACCUUAUUUCCAUAUACCAUACAAUUAAAUAUAAUAUUGCUUGCUGUCAUAUAAAAUUUGUGAAAAUUUCCCCCAGUGUCUAUUGAACACCCAUAGUGAUCUGAAUUUAAAUUUUCAUAUGCUAACAUUUUACAUGUAAGAAUUUAAAUUAGAUGGUGAGAUCCAUAAAGUUAGAAGUAAAGAGAACAAACAUAAAAAGUGGAAUUAGAGAACAAAAAAUAUUUACCUGUUUACUUUUCUGGGAAUACAAUUUUAAAGGAAAACAGUUCUUUUGAGUGUACAUUUAUGACAAUAGCAGUCUCCCAUACUGUGUUGUAUUCCAUAGGUAGUGUUGAGUGAAAGAGCUGUUUUAUCUCAUUCUAACAUAUUACUUAUAGAUUGUCAUAUUUUAAAUGAUUAUUACGGUAAGUCUCUUUUUGUCAAAAAGGAGGUGAGUUUGAGAAGAAUACUUUCUAUUAGUGUGGUUGGCAGACCUCCUAGGUUACUGAUAUUAUCAGUACUUUGAAUUUUGACUUCACACUGCAUGUCAUGGUGAGUUAACUAGCAGAUUGCUUGAUUUUAUCUAAUAGGAAGAAUAACAGGCAUAUCAACAUUUUUCAGGUAUUAGACACAAGGAUAUAAUUCCAUGAGCCACCUGAGGAUAACACUCAAGGUGGAUAAAUAAAUAAUGCAGUCUCAAUUAUUGAAGAAACAUGACAUAAAAUUUAAGAGGAGAAAAUCAAAUUUCUCACAAACUAAUAAGUCAAUAUAUAAAUAUCAUAGCAAUGUCAAAAAACAUGUAUUUGUCACCUAUUCCAUUCAUUCUGACAACACAGGAAGUUUUAAAAAUGUAUGAAGAUUCAUUCCUGCACUCAACGCAUUUCUUUUCCCCUAUGUCAUUAUGUACCCUAGGUGUGGCAUUAGGUCUCAUUACAAAAAAGAGCUUUAAUAUGAGUCAGUAUAUAAAAUGCUGCAGAUGUGAAAAAUCAAAUGCUAUGUGGCAUGAGAAAGGAAGAUAGAACAUUUUCCUCUUUGCUGAUGAGGGUAGAUUUUACAGAGUUGGUAAAAUGCCAGCUUCUCCUUCAAGUAGGGCUACUCUUCAGCCAGGACACACCCACAAGUCCCUACCCAAUGUCAAAAUGGUGAAUUGUUAUAUUUGCCAAAUAGCCACUGUCCCAAGCCUUCAUAUAACAUCCUUCUCCUGCCACCCAGAUACCCUAGGUUAACCUCUGAGACUCGAAAAUUUCCCAGCAUUUAUAAACAAAAUGAUCAAUGCCUGGAAAGCAUGUAUUCUAGGACUCUGUUCCAGUGCUCUGGCCUUUGUCUAUUUGUAUUAGAACAUACCUUUGAAGCAGCAUUUGUCGGAUGCUUUGGAUAUAUUACUUCUGCCUUUAAAGACGUACAUUAAUCCAAGUAAGUGAGAAUAAUAGGACUCCAAGCAGAAAGCAUAAGACGGCUAAAAGCAUGUGUGCUAUUCUAUAUUGGGAAGAGACUGUAAGUGGAAAUACUCAUGGAUUAUCCAUGUUGAGGCAAAUUUAUUUCAUAGCAGAGAAGAACUACGAUGAUAGUGAUGCUACAAGAAGUACACUCUUAUGAAAGCACAAUAAUUUAUUGAAAAAUGAUAAGAAGCAAAAUGACGUAAUUUGCUGAUGUUUCCAAAAGAAUUACGUUGAAACUCAUAUUGUGUUAGACUUAUAUUUAAGUAACUCAUAUUUUUGGAGCUACUGUAAAUUGUACUUAAAAUAUUCAAUUUUUAAUUGUUUAUUGCUAGUAUAUAGAAAAACAAUUGAUUAUGGAUUAUUGAUCUUAUAUACUGUAAUUUUGCUUAAGACAUUAUUUCUAGGAAGAUUUAUUUCUAUUGAUUCCUUGGGGUUUUCUACAUAGACAUUCAUGUGGUCUGUAUAUAGAGUUUUGUUUCUUUCUUUACAAGCUGUCUGCCUUUUACGUCUAUUGUCUUAUUGCACCAAAUAUGACUUUCACUUGAUUCUUCUUUCAGCUCAAAUCCACUGCUUAUUCUGCUAUAUGGAAGAUGUAGUUCUAUACGGCUAUAUCAUUCACAAGCCUCAUAGCCUGAGAUACCCCUAAGCCUUGUAACUCUUAUUAAUGGUUCAAUGAUAUGCACUUCAGGAUUGGGAUAUUUACUUCUAGGAUAAUAAUCAAUUUUCUUCAAGCUCUAAUGAGUCAGAUAUCAGCUCUUAACUAUCCUAUUUUUCUUCCAUAUUUCCUAAUAUUUAAUAAAUAUUGUCAAUGCUUUUAGAGCAAAGCUGUUGUCUUGAUUUAAAAGUAGAAUCUUUUUUCUGUUUUUUAUUCCUUGUGUUGUUUUGCAUAGGUAUUAAAUAAAGGAGGUGAAAUAAAAAAUGUCUUUAGUCUGCCAUGUUUAAUUUACAGUAAAAUAUCUCUAUUCCAGGAUUACUUUAAAUAUUAUAUAUAAGUGGAUUCAUUUUCAUGUCCUUGCAAAUAAAUUAGCUUUUUUUAAUUGAAAAGAUAAGAGUUUUAUCUAUACCUACCCUCACGG
rnacentral:lncRNA from 1 species